AACGAACGCUGGCAGCAGGCUUAACACAUGCAAGUCGAGCGCCCCGCAAGGGGAGCGGCAGACGGGUGAGUAACGCGUGGGAAUCUACCCAACCCUACGGAAUAACGCAUGGAAACGUGUGCUAAUACCGUAUACGCCCUUUUGGGGAAAGAUUUAUCGGGGAUGGAUGAGCCCGCGUUGGAUUAGCUAGUUGGUGGGGUAAAGGCCUACCAAGGCGACGAUCCAUAGCUGGUCUGAGAGGAUGAUCAGCCACAUUGGGACUGAGACACGGCCCAAACUCCUACGGGAGGCAGCAGUGGGGAAUAUUGGACAAUGGGCGCAAGCCUGAUCCAGCCAUGCCGCGUGAGUGAUGAAGGCCCUAGGGUUGUAAAGCUCUUUCACCGGAGAAGAUAAUGACGGUAUCCGGAGAAGAAGCCCCGGCUAACUUCGUGCCAGCAGCCGCAGUAA
rnacentral:rRNA from 1 species